rnacentral:rRNA from 1 species
GACGAACGCUGGCGGCGUGCUUAACACAUGCAAGUCGAACGAAGAGCGAUGGAAGCUUGCUUCUAUCAAUCUUAGUGGCGAACGGGUGAGUAACGCGUAAUCAACCUGCCCUUCAGAGGGGGACAACAGUUGGAAACGACUGCUAAUACCGCAUACGAUCCAAUCUCGGCAUCGGGACUGGAUGAAAGGUGGCCUCUAUUUAUAAGCUAUCACUGAAGGAGGGGAUUGCGUCUGAUUAGCUAGUUGGAGGGGUAACGGCCCACCAAGGCGAUGAUCAGUAGCCGGUCUGAGAGGAUGAACGGCCACAUUGGGACUGAGACACGGCCCAGACUCCUACGGGAGGCAGCAGUGGGGAAUCUUCCGCAAUGGACGAAAGUCUGACGGAGCAACGCCGCGUGAGUGAUGACGGCCGUCGGGUUGUAAAGCUCUGUUAAUCGGGACGAAUGGUUCUUGUGCGAAUAGGGCGAGGAUUUGACGGUACCGGAAUAGAAAGCCACGGCUAACUACGUG